GACGAACGCUGGCGGCGUGCUUAACACAUGCAAGUCGAACGGAAAGGCCCUGCUUGCUGGGUACUCGAGUGUCGAACGGGUGAGUAACCCGUGGGUGAUCUGCCCUGCACUUCGUGAUAAGCCUGGGAAACUGGGUCUAAUACCGGAUAGGAGCCAUUUUUAGUGUGAUGGUUGGAAAGUUUUUUCGGUGUAGGAUGAGCUCGCGGCCUAUCAGCUUGUUGGUGGGGUAAUGGCCUACCAAGGCGGCGACGGGUAGCCGGCCUGAGAGGGUGGACGGCCACAUUGGGACUGAGAUACGGCCCAGACUCCUACGGGAGGCAGCAGUGGGGAAUAUUGCACAAUGGGCGCAAGCCUGAUGCAGCGACGCCGCGUGGGGGAUGACGGCCUUCGGGUUGUAAACUCCUUUCGCUAGGGACGAAGCUUUUUGUGACGGUACCUAGAUAAGAAGCACCGGCUAACUACGUG
rnacentral:rRNA from 1 species